UACGUAGGGGGCAAGCGUUGUCCGGAUUCAUUGGGCGUAAAGAGCGUGUAGGCGGCCAGGUAGGUCGGUUGUGAAAACUGGAGGCUCAACCUUCAGAGGUCGACCGAAACCAUCUGGCUAGAGUCCGGGAGAGGAGAGUGGAAUUCCUGGUGUAGCGGUGAAAUGCGCAGAUAUCAGGAGGAACACCGACGGCGAAGGCAGCACUCUGGGCCGGUACUGACGCUGAGGAGCGAAAGCAUGGGGAGCGAACAGG
rnacentral:rRNA from 1 species